CCUACGGGGGGCAGCAGUGGGGAAUAUUGGGCAAUGGGCGCAAGCCUGACCCAGCAACGCCGCGUGAAGGAAGAAGGCUCUCGGGUUGUAAACUUCUUUUUUCAGGGACGAAGCAAGUGACGGUACCUGAGGAAUAAGCCACGGCUAACUACGUGCCAGCAGCAGCGGUAAUACGUAGGUGGCAAGCGUUAUCCGGAUUUACUGGGUGUAAAGGGCGUGUAGGCGGGACUGCAAGUCAGAUGUGAAAUCAACGGGCUCAACCUGUGGACUGCAUUUGAAACUGUAGUUCUUGAGUACUGGUGAGGCAGACGGAAUUCGUGGUGUAGCGGUGAAAUGCGUAGAUAUUAGGAGGAACACCAGUGGCGAAGGCGGUCUGCUGGACAGCAACUGACGCUGAGGCGCGAAAGCGUGGGGAGCAAACAGGAUUAGAUACCCUGGUAGUC
rnacentral:rRNA from 1 species